rnacentral:misc_RNA from 1 species
AGGCCCGGUUGUACAAUCGAAGUUCAACUCCGGCUCAGCGCCAUUACCGAGUUCAGGGCAAGAAGUGCGUUGUACAUACAAAGUUUAAUUCUUGAACUCGGUUUAAGCCCGGGUUCAGCUGAGCGGCCGAUGUUCGACGGUUCAACGCUGGUUCAAGGAUUUUUAACCUCAGAUUUUUGUCAUUGUCAACGGAAAUCAUAAUAUUUACACCUUAAAAAUGAACUUCAUUGAAAAUUUAACUAAUAAUGAAGGAUUUCUGGAAAUGAUAAAUAUUGUAGAAGGAAGGAGAACACAGAAACAGUGUAAGGCUAGAGAAAAUCAUUUUGAAAAAUGGAAUGAUAAUGAAUUUUUGCAAAGAUUUUGGAAUGCUGGAAAUGCUUGGCAAAGAAAGUGCUGUUCAGUUCACUAUUUGCAUGAAACUAAUGCUCAUAGAAUAAAAAAUCGAACAGAUAGGUAAGAACGAAAACAAGUGGCAAAUUUGUUAUUGACAUUUCAAGAACCAUAGGCUGUAUCUUCUAAGAACAUGGUUUUUAUUGCCUUAAAUUAAGGUUUUGUGCAGUGAAGUGGACCCAUAUCACUGGUUUUAAGCAACAGGCUUCUUUUUGCAACUUAUGGAUGAUUUUGAAGCAAAUGUAGAAAAUGAUUUUGUUAAUUUAUUAAAUUAAAUGUACCUACCUACAUAAUUUAUUAAUAAAUCUAAAAUUAAUUAUAUUUGUACCAUGCUUAUUUAGGUACAUAUCACUUUAUUUAAUAAUGAUUACAAACUAAUUUACAUUCUAAAAUUAUUUAAAUACCCUACCUACUUCCCUAGAAUAAGGCAAAUAUUAACAUUUUUGAGUGAAUUUGAAAUCAUAGCUGUAAACAGUUAAAAAUAUUUAUGAGAAGGGAAUGUGAAGAUUGAAUUAGUAUCUUCGUUGGUGAUAGUGGUUACGGAGUCAAGAAAAACCUAAUAACACCCUUACGCAAUCCUUCAUCACAAGCUGAAAUUUUAUUUAAUGAGGCAAAAUGAGAAUGCAUAGACACAAUUGAAUGGGUCUACCGAAUAACAAUUGUUAAGUGCCAUGUGAUUCGUUUUUACGAAAUCGAACAAAAACUAGUAUAAUGAUAAAUUUAUACAUUUAAGGGUUAGUUAUUAAUACAGUUUGUAACUAACUGUACUGUAAACUGUAUUACUAAUCCUUUUUUUAAUGGCAUUGACUGUAUGUCAAUCAGCCAGUCAAAACAUGACUAAUUAAGAAGAAUAUACAUUCAAAGACCGUAAAGUUUAUAAAAUAUCAAUAACGAAGAAAAGUUAGUUCAGUUGAGAUGUAAUUUAAGUACUGAAAUUAAACAGAUGGUACUAAGCUGAAGUAAUUAAUUACUAAUCCUUAAAAUGUAUAAAUUUACCAUUAUUAUAAUUUUAACAGUUCUUGUUAGAUUUCUUAAAAACGAAUCACAUGGCACUUGUUAUUCGGCAGACACAUUGAAUUAUAAUUGGAACAUCAAUGUUACACAAUAUUACAAUGCAUUUUAAUAACCUUUUGCCCAUACUACAUGAAGAAGAGGAAGUAGCAAUGGCUUUAGCCAAAAAUUUAGAAAAUCUAACUGUCUAGAGAAUCAUGAGAAGUACAAUUUAUCAAACAUAGGAAGAGGUUGAAAAUCUUGUGCAUGAAUACUUUGUUAAUUUAAAAUUUAGAUAUUUAAACUAAUACUUAUAACAACUAUUAGAUAGGUAUUUAUAAAAAUAUCUUACUAUCUGCUACAAUCAAUGGCUUUGAUAAACUUCUCUAAAAUUUUGGGGGCUGGACAUGUAUUUCAUUUUAUUUUGUACAAUUUUGCUGUAUUGUUUGGCCACAGAUACCAAUAUUUCUUCUUGAGAGGUGAAAUUGGAAGGUAUUUUUGCGUCCAUUGUAGAAAAAAAUACUAACAAACAAUUUUUUACAAAAAGAAAAUAAACACAUUGCAAUAAUAUCCUAAUACUUAUAAUACCUAUUCAAAUGAUCUGUUCACAAAUUUAACGUAGGAAAUUGAUUAAACUAAUAAACUAAACGAUAAAAAAUACCAAUUAAACUAAUAAUACAGUAAUAAAAUAAUUAUAUUGACAAAAACCAAAUAGGUAAUAAUACAUAAAUGGCGGGAAAAUUUAUGUCGAAAAUUGAUGGGAAUUGCUUUGAAUACGCAUGCCUUACAUUGCCAACCUUACCAAAAUUUGUAUAAACCUCGGCUUAACUGAACUCGGCAUUGAACAACCCGAAUGAAGUUAAACCGACGCUCAAAAUUGAACCCGGUUCAACUAAGCGAUGGCUUAAGCCACCAAUGUACAAUCGGGCCUUAAAGAUACGAAGAAUAUACGACAACUCUCAAAAAGGUACGCAAAUCGGAUAAUUAUCCGCCGAUUGGCAACACUGGUAUGGAGGCUAUGUACCUAGCAUGGAGGCUAGAUUAUGGCACCCUUCCUAUCCAAUAUCCAAUCAACAACAAGAACGUUUAAAAUUUCACACCUAUCAUGUCGAAGCUACAGACCACUUAUGUGGAGGCCAGAUUUGUAGUAUCCUUCCAUUUAACCAGGUGCUGAGAUGGCGCUGAAAUACGUGACAUGUUUUUUAAAGAGAUCGCAUUCUACCAAAUCACACAACACACAACACUUUUUACUUUUUUCUAUGUUUUGUAACAUCCUUUAUCCUUUUUGUUUGUAUGUUUGAUUUUUGAUGUUUGUAUUUGUUGUAUGUUUCCAGUAUUUUUGUUCCAGUGAUAAGUAGUAUGAUUUAUUAACUAUGGAAAUGGAAUUUAAAAUUGAGUAACAGUUUGUUGAAUAUGACCAAAGAUAUAGAAAGUGAGUUGUCCAAAUCAACAGAUCUUGGAAACUUUAAGCAGGAACCAGAAGAUGAGUCAACUAUGGAAGUAAAAGAUGAAAUUAAGGAAGAGUCUGAAGAGGACCAAGGAUAUAUGGAAAGUCAACUAUCCAGGACCCUUGAUCUGGGAGACUUGAAGAAUGAACCAGAUAAAGAUAAUUUAGAUGUUUCCCAGAAGAAAUUAUCAGAAAUCGAAGUUAACAACACAUUAGCUGAACAUGCAUGUAAUAAAAAACAAGAAAUAAGUCUUAAUCCUGAUGACACAGCACUUACAAAUUAUAUUUCUUCUGAUGGCUUCCCUUACAAAAAUAAUUUCAAGGAACAUACGAAUGAUCAGACUGAAGGAAAGCUUCACAAAUGUGAAAUUUGUUUUAAGCAAGUUACUACAGCAACUGGUUUGAAAAGACAUUUAAGAGUGCACACUGGACAAACGCCUUAUCAGUGUGAAAUUUGUUUUAAAUUGUUCAAUCAAGCAAAUAAUUUGAAAACACAUUUCAGAUUACAUACUGGAGAAAAACCUUAUGAGUGUAAAAUUUGUUUUAAGCAGUUUAGUGAAAUGGACAAUUUGAAAACACAUUUAAGGAUACACACUGGAGAGAAGCCGUACACGUGUGACAUUUGUUUUAAGCAAUUUAAUCAAACGAGUCAUUUGAAAACACAUUUCAGAGUGCACACUGGAGAAAAGCCUUAUAAGUGUGAAAUUUGUUUUAAACGGUUUAGUCGAACAGAAGAUUUGAAAAUACAUUUAAGAGCGCGCACUGGAGAAAAGCCGUAAAAGUGUGAAAUUUGUUUAAAGAAGUUUACUACAAGAAGUCAAUUGAAAACACAUUUGAGAAUACACACUGGAGAAAAAACUUACAAGUGUGAAAUUUGUUUUAAGUAGUUUAGUGAAAUGGGCAAUUUGAAAACACAUUUAAGAGUACACACUGGAGAAAAGUCUUAAAAGUGUGAAAUUUGUUUUAAGCAGUUUACUCAAGCAGGUACUUUGAAAUGCCAUCUGAGAUCACACAACUAAAAAGGAUGUGAGAUUUGUUAUAGGUACUUUUCUCGAAAUUUCUGGUCUCAUGUUUGAGAAAUUAAUAUCUAACUUGAGUUGAACGUCUGAGCAAAGUAAGAAAUAUGGAUGUAAACAGAUGGACAGUUCGUCGACGACUUUUAAAGGGUAAUUUAUUAUCCAGACGGGUAGGACUAUCUUCACUACCUUCCACAAAAAUCGCAGAGCUCGCCUUGACUUUGCAAUAGAACUGAAGUGAUGCAGGUUGGAGCAAUGUAUUGAUCUCAGAUGAGUCCAGAUUUUGUCUGAGGUCACCAGAUGACCGAGAUAGGAUUUGGAAAAGAGAAGGAGAGCGAUGUUUUAAAUGCAAUAUUGCGAAAGAAUAAGUAGGGGGCACUCCCUUAUGAUUUUUGCUGGUAUAAGUUCAGAAGCCCAUACUGAUUUAGUUAUUGCGGAUAGAUGUUCUAUGUUCUGCAAGAUACAUAACAAGUAGUAUUUUAGAUCAGUAUGUGGUACCUGUUUCUCCUUUCAUUUAACCUUAUUUCAUUUUUAUGGACGACAACGCGCGUCCUCACCAUGCUGGAAUCGUCAACCAAUAUAUAGAGAAGAUGUUUCCCAGAAGAAAUUAUCAGAAAUCGAAGUUAACAACACAGCUGAACAUGAAUGCAAGAAAAAACAAGAAAUAAGUCUUAAUCAUGAUGACAUAGCACUUAC